GGAAAUGUGCCCGAACAACAUAAGGACUACUUUGAUAGAGUAUUUUAUAGGGGUUAAAUUCCCCUUAUUUCCU
rnacentral:tRNA from 1 species